rnacentral:rRNA from 1 species
GAUGAACGCUGGCGGCGUGCCUAAUACAUGCAAGUCGAGCGAACAGACGAGGAGCUUGCUCCUCUGACGUUAGCGGCGGACGGGUGAGUAACACGUGGAUAACCUACCUAUAAGACUGGGAUAACUUCGGGAAACCGGAGCUAAUACCGGAUAACAUGUUGAACCGCAUGGUUCAACAGUGAAAGACGGUCUUGCUGUCACUUAUAGAUGGAUCCGCGCCGCAUUAGCUAGUUGGUAAGGUAACGGCUUACCAAGGCAACGAUGCGUAGCCGACCUGAGAGGGUGAUCGGCCACACUGGAACUGAGACACGGUCCAGACUCCUACGGGAGGCAGCAGUAGGGAAUCUUCCGCAAUGGGCGAAAGCCUGACGGAGCAACGCCGCGUGAGUGAAGAAGGUCUUCGGAUCGUAAAACUCUGCUAUUAGGGAAGAACAAAUGUGUAAGUAACUAUGCACGUCCUGACGGUACCUAAUCAGAAAGCCACGGCUAACUACGUG